UCUUGCGCCAUGCGCGCAAGCGUGACGCAGCAACGCCGCGUGGGGGAAGAAGGCCUUCGGGUGGUAACCCCUUGCAGUUGGGACGAAGCUUCCGCGGUUAACAGCCGCGUGGCGUGACGGUACCUGCAGAAGAAGCCCCGGCUAACUACGUGCCAGCAGCCGCGGUAAUACGUAGGGGGCUAGCGUUGUCCGGAAUCAUUGGGCGUAAAGCGCGUGUAGGCGGCCCGGUAAGUCCGCUGUGAAAGUCGGGGGCUCAACCCUCGAAAGCCGGUGGAUACUGUCGGGCUAGAGUACGGAAGAGGCGAGUGGAAUUCCUGGUGUAGCGGUGAAAUGCGCAGAUAUCAGGAGGAACACCAAUUGCGAAGGCAGCUCGCUGGGACGUGACUGGCGCUGAGACGCGAAAGCGUGGGGAGCAAACAGG
rnacentral:rRNA from 1 species